ensembl:lncRNA
AUGGCCCAAACUCUGCCUCUGCUGCUGUUGGCCGUGCUGAACUCUCUGAGCUGCCACAGUGAGGUGAGGGUCAGGGACCCUGACGUGGAGGAAGAAGAGACUACGGGGACUGGAGGAAGGGCACAGCGAAUUUCUGGCACCUUUGGGACAGCUCACCUACCCUUGCCACAUGAACAUCACGGCAUCCCAAAGCCUUCAGAGGGCAAACCUCAAAACUCAGUUUCCCCAUCAAGAGGAUGGGGAGAUGUACAUCCAUUUGCACAGAGAGGGUGUCCCUCGUUUGUUUUCAUUGAAUCCAGGUGUGUCUAAUCGUUAGUGCCUGUAUCCUGUGCUUAAAAACCCCAGUCCUUUCAGUUACUGAUUGUCCGGUUUUUGUUGAUGUCAACAACUUGUGCUAUGUGUGAUUCCUUGCGAUAUGAAUAAAUUCCUUGGUUGUGUACUCCUGGUCUCCUCGUUCCUCGCUCCGUGUUCCCGCACCGUAGCAACUCGUGACACUUAUUAAUAGUGGUGGGCAGAUCGAGUGGUGGGCAGAUUACUGCUCUCUCUUUCCAGUAAAUUAGGGGAUCAUGAGUUCUGGGCAAAAAUGCAUCAUGGAGGUAUUUUUUCACUUCCACUGUGGCAUCAGCUGUAGCAUUGUGUUUCAUCUGGGUUUCAUGGAUAAGAUUAUCAAAAAGUUCCCAUAAACUGUCCUGUGUUUCUACUGGUGUUGAUGGUGAUGAUGAUGAUGAUGAUGAUGGGCCUGAUGUUGACAUUUGUGGCUCUGAAUAAAAAUGAAAACAGCAAUUAGUAACAAAUCCUACACUGACAGCAUAUAUGAAGUACAUAUUAUAUGAAUCAGAUUACAUAACAUAACAUAAUAUAGACUGAAACUGCUCACCAGGAGUUGUGUUUGAACGCAUCAGUGAAGCACACUCCAGUGUGAUGUGCUUUUCAGCAUCCUGGGCUUUGGCAGGAUUUCCGAAUGCCACAUUUUUGAACCUGGGGUCCAGCAGUGUAGCCAGUGCCAAGGCUCUAAAACUCUCAUAACCUCCACAUCUGGAGUGCAGACCUUCUUGCAGAUGUGAGCCUAUGAGCCAAAACAGGAGAAAAUUAUAUUAUUUAUAAUAAUGACAAUAAUAUGACAGUUAUGGCCAAUAACAUGGGUAGUAUGGUCAUUGUGGCCUAUCUAAUUGUACAGUUGAUUCCUGCGUUGCAUUUCCUUUUUUCUGUGCAAGCUUGUGCUGCAACAUCCUAUACAGUGGUAUAAGCUUUGAAGCAGACACUCUCUGUUCCUCUGACAUCUCUGUUGUUGCUAGUUUGAAUGGUUGCAGUAGUGACAAUGAUUGUUGAAUAAUGUCAUACUGAAGACUUGUCAGGGGAGCAGUAUCAUUGUUUAAAUUGGAAAGUGCAGCACCAACUGGCUCACGUUGGUCAUACAAGCGAUGUAGCAUGUCGAAUGUGCUGUUCCAUCUCGUCUCAACCUCCUGUAUCAGUUUCAGAGUUGGUCUCCCCAUCAAGCCCUGCAUCUCCACAAGCUUGUCCUUUGCUUUGCAGCUGGAUCUGAACAACCCCACUAUCUUUCUGGCCUUCUGGCUUACUUCAUUGAUGAAUGGGGUUUGAUAUAGGGCCUUUUUCACAAUCAAAUUUAAAUUAUGAGCAAAACAUGGGACAUGGCGAAGGUGGAGUAGCUGGGCGCUUAGGAUCAUGUAGAAUGCAUUGUCAGUCACCAUGCACUGAACUUUGGAGGUUUGGUAAAACCUCCUUACACCCAGUACAACAGAUUUUUGCCUCUGGUGUUAUGUAAUGGCAAGUUACAUCAAGAUAUCCAUCCAUAUUAUUGGAGGACCACAUGUAAGCCGUAAGGCUAACAAAUUCUGCCUUUUGUAGGUCCUCCAUUGUCUUCUCCUUGGUUUUGUUGUACCUUUCGCUGACCAUUGUUUAAAGCACCUUCCGGGAUGGGAGGACAUAGCUUGGAUCAGGCUUGUUCACAAAGGCCCUGAAACCCUCAUCCUCCAUGAUGGUAAAGGGCUGCAGAUCCUUCACCACCAUGUUUACAACAGCCUCAUCCAAUUCCCUCCGUCUGCCUUUUAAAAGAGAAGAUAAAACAUACUUUCAGACAAAUACAUUGAAAAAAUACAGCUUCAAAUAGUGCACAGCUAUUAAAAGUAGCCUACUGGUUC